AACGGCACAGAGGGUGAUAUCGGGCCCACUGGCCCAAUUGGUCGCAGAGGCCCGCGGGGUCUUGUUGGAGCUGAGGGGUUUCGGGGGCCUACAGGGCCCAGAGGACCUCAGGGUUUGCUUGGCAUGGAUGGUCCUCAGGGUCUUAAAGGAGACCAAG